GCUGUUCCAAGUGGACUUGCUUCUCUGUUGUUACCUCAUGGAAUCUAUAGGAUUAGUGCUGCCAUGACCAGCAAAGCCCUGCUUGGGGACAGCAAGAGUAAGGCUCCCUUCUGGAAAUGAAAACCUGCUGUUGACGAUGCCAGAGGCAUUUAGAAAAGUCAUCACCAUGGUUUUAAGGAGGAAAAAGGUCCCAGCGAAACAGUGCUUCACCAAUGAAAACUGAACUGGUCUUUGUUUCUUACUAAAGAAAAUAGGAAACCCUCUGAAAGCUUUUCAGAAAACACAGUCUGAGUGUGGCCAGCCAGGAAUGCCAGCAAAUCCCAGCUCCUCAAAGGAAGCUCUUCAGUCUCUGAUAAAUUUUUUGAAUACCAGGUCUCCACAAAGAGGCAAAGCAAAACAGCUCAUGUGAAGAAAGAUGUGGCAGCAACCUGUGACAGUGCUCCUAGAGAGCAGCGCGUUGCAGCCGUGCCCUGCAGACCACCAGCAUCCCUGCUUUGCAUCACCCCAUCCAGCACUGAGAAGCACUUCUGUAGGCGAGGAGGUUUCCAUCUUCCAGGCUGUUUGGGCAUGGAGUGCUCCACCAAGGUCACUGACUUGCCCUGUUAUUCUGAAGAUCUCCAUACCCCUGUGACCCGUGUAGUCCGUAUGAACUAUCUACAGAGAUUAGAGGUACCAAUUCCUACCUUACUGUUAUUUGCUACUUCAUCAGUUUGUUUAGAUUCCCUAGAACUCAAGAUAAUCUGGUUUUUAAGUCUGAAUCCUCAUGAUUUCACACAAACAUUAGAUUUAUUGGCAGCCUAAAUGCUCAGUUGUGUGCAUUAUUUCCAUUGGAUCGAGAGCCGAUUGAAAACUGGAGGGGUGAACAUUUGCAUGGUCCAAGAAAUGAACUAGCACUGGAUCAUUCUUUUCCCCUCUGAGUUAUACUGACAGCAGCCAUAACAUCAAGGCUGAAAAGUUUAUUUACUAUGUAAAGACCGUAUUUUCUCUUCUUACCCCAGCUCUUUCUGGCUUGUGUUGCUUGGCAAUAUCCCAUCAGCCACUAACACCCAGAGGCGUGGCACUAUGAUGGGAUGAAAAAUGAACAUGCAGAAGAAUAUUGAAGAUUUAAGUGGGUUUGGUUCUAAGAAAACCAGUGGAAAACAUGUUUACUCCAAGCAUCUGUAGCACCUAAUUGAGGCAGUGAUAUUUUCUGUAAGAACAGAGGGAAUGACUUUCUGCUUUCUCUUUGGAUUUAAAUUUUGCUUUGAAUUGAUAUGACAUAAUUCAUGGAAUUAUUUUCUUACAGCUACACUGGAAACUUUCUGCCCAUAUAUGAGGAUGUGUUAAUCAGGGUGAAAAAGCUUGCAGUCAUUGGAGCUGAGUUGAUUUCUAGACUAUUUGUUUGGAACUGUUGCUUCCUCCCAAUUUGCAGAAAUCCAGUGCUCAGUAAACACUAUUAUUUUUGAGCUAUUAAUGUUGCUAUAAAUUUGAAUGCUAGAAAGAAGGCGGCAGAUUGUGAUUAAAAUGGACGUAAUCUA